rnacentral:misc_RNA from 1 species
AACCUAGCACACCUGCGGUGUGUACCUGCGGAAGGAUCAUUACAGAGUUGCAAGACUCCCUAAACCAUUGUGAACCUACCUUCUACCGUUGCUUCGGCGGGCGGGCCCAGCGCCCCCCCGGCCCCCCGCGGGCGCCCGCCGGAGGAUACCCAAACUCUUGACAUUAGUGGCCUCUCUGAGUAUUCUUUACUGAAUAAGUCAAAACUUUCAACAAUGGAUCU